UACGUAGGUGGCAAGCGCUACUCGGAAUCACUAGGCGUAAAGCGCAGGUAGGCGGUUUGGUAAGUCUUUUGUGAAAGCUCCCGGCUUAACUGGGAGAGGUCAAGGGAAACUACCGGACUAGAGUGUGGUAGGGGAUACUGGAAUUCCUGGUGUAGCGGUGAAAUGCGUAGAUAUCAGGAGGAAUACCUAUGGCGAAAGCAGGUAUCUGGGCCAUCACUGACGCUGAGCUGCGAAAGCUAGGGGAGCAAACAGG
rnacentral:rRNA from 1 species